GACGAACGCUGGCGGCGUGCCUAAUACAUGCAAGUUGAGCGAUGAAGAUUGGUGCUUGCACCAAUUUGAAGAGCAGCGAACGGGUGAGUAACGCGUGGGGAAUCUGCCUUUGAGCGGGGGACAACAUUUGGAAACGAAUGCUAAUACCGCAUAAUAACUUUAAACAUAAGUUUUAAGUUUGAAAGAUGCAAUUGCAUCACUCAAAGAUGAUCCCGCGUUGUAUUAGCUAGUUGGUGAGGUAAAGGCUCACCAAGGCGAUGAUACAUAGCCGACCUGAGAGGGUGAUCGGCCACAUUGGGACUGAGACACGGCCCAAACUCCUACGGGAGGCAGCAGUAGGGAAUCUUCGGCAAUGGACGAACGUCUGACCGAGCAACGCCGCGUGAGUGAAGAAGGUUUUCGGAUCGUAAAACUCUGUUGGUAGAGAAGAACGUUGGUGAGAGUGGAAAGCUCAUCAAGUGACGGUAACUACCCAGAAAGGGACGGCUAACUACGUG
rnacentral:rRNA from 1 species